rnacentral:rRNA from 1 species
CCUACGGGAGGCAGCAGUGAGGAAUAUUGGUCAAUGGACGAGAGUCUGAACCAGCCAAGUAGCGUGAAGGAUGACUGCCCUAUGGGUUGUAAACUUCUUUUAUAUGGGAAUAAAAUGUUCCACGUGUGGGAUUUUGUAUGUACCAUAUGAAUAAGGAUCGGCUAACUCCGUGCCAGCAGCCGCGGUAAUACGGAGGAUCCGAGCGUUAUCCGGAUUUAUUGGGUUUAAAGGGAGCGUAGGUGGGUGGUUAAGUCAGUUGUGAAAGUUUGCGGCUCAACCGUAAAAUUGCAGUUGAGACUGGCAGUCUGGAGUACAGUAGAGGUGGGCGGAAUUCGUGGUGUAGCGGUGAAAUGCUUAGAUAUCACGAAGAACUCCGAUUGCGAAGGCAGCUCACUGGACUGCAACUGACAUUGAGGCUCGAAAGUGUGGGUAUCAAACAGGAUUAGAUACCCGAGUAGUC